GUUUAAAUUUCAUUGAUUUCUAUUUACUUAAACUAAAGUUAUUGUGCGAAAACCAAGAAUAAUGCUUAUUUAGGCCCUUUUUUGGCCCCUAAUUCCUAAACUGUUGAAACCAAAACUCCCAAAAUCAAUACCAACCUUUCUUUUGUGGUCAUAAACCUUGUGUCAAAAUUUCAUAGAUUUCUAUUAAUUUAAACUAAAGUUAUAGUGCGAAAACCAAGAAAAUGCUUAUUUGGGCCCUUUUUGGCCCCUAAUUCCUAAAAUGUUGAAACCAAAACUCCCAAAAUCAAU
rnacentral:lncRNA from 1 species